UUUGCUUUUAUUAUUAUGCAAGCCUUUGCGUAUUAAUGAGAAGAAAGCGAGUGGGGUCCACAACAGAAAGCGCAAGUGAUGCCCUCGGCAGAUUGCAAGCAUGAGGUAACACGUGUGUACGUCAUGAAACAGGAGGAGAGAGAGAGAGAGCACGUUUUAUACGUGGAGAAGAAAAACGGGUGCGGGUGUGUGCGUUGGACGAUGUCAUUUUGAGAGCGUGGCCGCAUGCGAAUGGUAGGAAACGGUAACGCCCUUGCGGCCUUGCCCGCAUGCGUUCAAUGCAAGUGAUAUCGAAGCUUCUACUAAAUUUGGUGGUCCUCAUAUUAUUACUCACUUCCUAUAGGGUCGCUCUUUUAAUUUAAUUCUUUAAAUAAGUGG
rnacentral:lncRNA from 1 species